ensembl:antisense
UGGCAGCAGCUGCAUCUGUGUUGUAUCCCUGACUGCUCAGUUUGCUGUUCAAAUCAACAAAGUUUCUCUGGUUAAAGAACAACAACAACAACAACAACUUGGUGUGUUCCUGUUGUUGGAUUUUCACCAGACUCUCCGCACCAUCGCACACCAACAUUUUGGGGGUUUGUCCAGGAUCCAGAGCCCUGAUACAGAAGUGCAAUUUUUUGAAUUGGCAACUUCAGGGGAAACACUGGAGAGAAACUCCAGGGUUUAACUUUUCUCUUGGAGACUAUACCCAUCAGCCAACUUGGGAUGACUGUCAACAACUCCUGAGAUGUUCUUUUCCUCACAGGCCUGGGAAUGCAUCUUCUGGGAAGCCAGGAAAUUGCUUCCUAGUGACAACAGUCACCCUUCAUAUGCCCAGAUUGGAACCCUAAUGAGGCAGCAGCCCAUGGUAACCUUGAAAGUGGAGGAAAAACCAAUGGACUUUCUGGUAGGCAUGGAAGCCAACUGAAGGAACCAAAGUGACUCCUAGCCACGAGAUGCAGCCUGGUGCUAAACAAUACCCCCAGUACAAGGAAAUGCCAUGUCAACCUCGAAAAAGAUGAUGUUACUCCAAUAUGCAGAUGACCUCAUCAGGGCAGCCAGCCAACAUGGACACGUGCACAAUGGCCACUCAAGAGCUCCUAGGACCUCUCCAAUGCCUGAGAUACUUGAUGGAUGUGCACCAAGAAGGCCCAACUCUGCAACCGGAAUGCCACAUACUUGGGAUUCCAUGAAGGGAGGAAGUCCUAGUUUAUGUCAUGUGAACAGGAAAUCUUGGGUUGGCGAGAUGGCUCAACGGCUAAGAACACUUAUUGCUCUUCUGAAGGCCCUGAGUUCAAAUCCCAGCAAUCACAUGGUGGCUCACAACCACCUAUAAUGAGAUCUGAUGCCCUCUUCUGGUGUGUCUGAACUCAGCUACAGGGUACUUAUGUUUAAUAAUAAAUAAAUCUUUGAGCCAGAGUGAGCAAGUUUGACCAGAGCGAGCGGGGCCGAGUGGAGCUAGUAAAGGUCCUAAAAUUUCAAUUCCGAACAACCACAUGAAGGCCCACAACCAUCUGUACAGCUACAGUGUACUCACAUAAAAUAAAGAAAUCUUUAAAAAAAAAAAAA